GAUGAACGCUGGCGGCGUGCCUAAUACAUGCAAGUCGAGCGAACAGACGAGGAGCUUGCUCCUCUGACGUUAGCGGCGGACGGGUGAGUAACACGUGGUUAACCUACCUAUAAGACUGGGAUAACUUCGGGAAACCGGAGCUAAUACCGGAUAAUAUAUUGAACCGCAUGGUUCAAUAGUGAAAGACGGUUUUGCUGUCACUUAUAGAUGGAUCCGCGCCGCAUUAGCUAGUUGGUAAGGUAACGGCUUACCAAGGCGACGAUGCGUAGCCGACCUGAGAGGGUGAUCGGCCACACUGGAACUGAGACACGGUCCAGACUCCUACGGGAGGCAGCAGUAGGGAAUCUUCCGCAAUGGGCGAAAGCCUGACGGAGCAACGCCGCGUGAGUGAUGAAGGUCUUCGGAUCGUAAAACUCUGUUAUUAGGGAAGAACAAAUGUGUAAGUAACUAUGCACGUCUUGACGGUACCUAAUCAGAAAGCCACGGCUAACUACGUG
rnacentral:rRNA from 1 species